GGCCUCUCUCUCUUGGGGUUGUGGGGGGUCCAGUUUCACCUCAGCCAAGCAUGGAGACAGAGAUCAGCCCUUUAAGAUUAUUGUGAGGAUUGUCAUAAGCUGGCAGCCUUGUUUUCCUGCCUCAGACAUUU